GGUGUGCAAUGUUCCUGGGGAGACCCGACUCCCAUGAUGCUUUGGGGCACGAGCUGUCCCAUGGCAAGUGCGAGUCCCAUGAUGCCUUGCAACAACACCUAUACCACACCGAACGUGACUCCCAUGAUGCUUUGCGGCGCACGACAUGCUGGGAGAGAUGCGACUGCCAUGAUGCUUUGCGGUGCCCAGCGUCCUUGGAGAGGCGUGAGUCCCAUGAUGCUUUGCGGCAUGCGACGUCCUUGGAGAGAUGCGACUCCCAUGACACUUUGCGGCGAGAGCUGAACCGCACCGAGUGUGAUUCCCAUGAUGCUUUGCGGCAUCCAACAUACUUAGAGAGACACGAUUCCCAGAAUUCUUUGCGCUCUGCGAUGUCUUUGGAGAGACACGACUCCCAUGAUGCUUUGCGACCCGGGCUAGCAUCAGAAAAACAUGGCUGCUGUGAAGCCCUGCGGCGAGAGUCCUCCCUGGAGAGGCGCAACUCCCAUGAUGCUUUGCGGCAUGGGGCGGCAUCGAAGGGGCGCGACUCCCACAGUGCCUUGCGGCAAGAGCCCUGUGGGGCUGGGUGUGGCUCCCAUGAUGCCUUGCACCAUGGGGCAGCACUGGAGAGGCGUGACUCCCAUGAUGCUUUGCACCACAGCAGGGUGGUAGAGGGGCGCGACUCCCAUGAUGCUUUGCGGCGAGAGGCCUCCCUGGAGUGCUGCCAUUCCCAUGAUGCUUUGCGACCCCCGAGGAGCAGCUCCCAUGAUGCCUUGCAGCGCCCGGACCAUGACUCCCAUGAUGCUUUGCGGCUCCGGGGCCGUGGCUUCCAUGAUGCAUUGCAGCCCAAGAAGCAGAGCUCCCAUAAUGCCUUGCGGUCUCUGAAGAACACCUCCCAUGAUGCUUUGCAGCCCUCAAGAGACUGCGACUCCCAUGAUGCCUUGCGGCCUCCGAGGAGCAGGUCCCAUGAUGCUUUGCGGUCCUGGGAGCAUGACUCCCGUGAUGCCAUGCAGCCCCCAAGGAGCAGCUCCCAUGAUGCUAUGGGGCCGCAGAAGUGUGGCUCCCAUGAUGCUUUGCAGUUGGCGCAGAGCUCCCAUGCUGCCUUGCGCGAGAGCGGCCAUGAUUCCCAUGAUGCUUUGCGGCACAGAGGCGCCGACUGCCGUGACGGUUCAGGGCCGAAGGCACGCGACUCCCAUGAUGCCUUGCAGCGUGGAGGCCAUGGCUCCCAUGAUGCCUUGCGGCCUAAGAAGCACAAUUCCCAUGAUGCCUUGCAGCCUGGAGCACCUGGCUCCCAUGAUGCCUUGCAGGCCAGAGGCCCUAGUUCCCAUGAUGCCUUGCGGCCUAAGAAGCACAGCUCCCAUGAUGCUUUGCAGCCCAGAGGCCCUAGUUCCCAUGAUGCCUUGCAGCCUAAGAAGCACAGCUCCCAUGAUGCUUUGCAGCCGGGAGCACCUGG
rnacentral:lncRNA from 1 species